AUAUCUCUCCCAACACGCAUAAAAUGAGUCCUCUUCUCUUUCCUGAAAAUUAUAAAUUAACUUUUUCAAAGAUGCCGUUUUGUUCAUAGGAAAAUUUUUUUUGAAAAAUUCCUCUUGCAUUGUUCCCCAUGAAGUGAUAGAACUCGAUCUUAGAGAAUUUAGCCAGAUUUUAGCUCGGUCUUUAAGUGAAAAUGUAAAGAGUUUAAGCCUUGCUAUAUCUUCCCUAUGUGGACCGUCUACC
rnacentral:lncRNA from 1 species